rnacentral:rRNA from 1 species
CACGUAGGGCGCAAGCGUUGUCCGGAAUUAUUGGGCGUAAAGAGCUCGUAGGCGGUCUGUUACGUCUGCUGUGAAACCCGGGGCUUAACCCUGGGCUUGCAGUGGAUACGGGCAGACUAGAGUUCGGUAGGGGAGACUGGAAUUCCUGGUGUAGCAGGUGAAAUGCGCAGAUAUCAGGAGGAACACCAAUGGCGAAGGCAGCUCGCUGGGACGGUACUGACGCUGAGACGCGAAAGCGUGGGGAGCAAACAGG